rnacentral:rRNA from 1 species
CAGUCGCCACGGUAAUACGUAGGGUGCAAGCGUUAAUCGGAAUUACUUGGCGUAAAGCGUGCGCAGGCGGUUUGUUAAGACAGAUGUGAAAUCCCCGGGCUCAACCUGGGAACUGCAUUUGUGACUGGCAAGCUAGAGUGUGGCAGAGGGGGGUGGAAUUCCGCGUGUAGCAGUGAAAUGCGUAGAUAUGCGGUGGAACACCGAUGGCGAAGGCAGCCCCCUGGGCCAACACUGACGCUCAUGCACGAAAGCGUGGGGAGCAAACAGGAUUAGAUACCCCUGUAGUCCCUGUCUCUUAUAC